rnacentral:rRNA from 1 species
AUUGAACGCUGGCGGCAUGCCUUACACAUGCAAGUCGAACGGAUCUAGGGGCUUGCUCCUAGGUUAGUGGCGAACGGGUGAGUAAAGCAUCGGAACGUACCCAGUCGUGGGGGAUAACGUAGCGAAAGUUACGCUAAUACCGCAUACGUCCUGAGGGAGAAAGCGGGGGACCGAAAGGCCUCGCGCGAUUGGAGCGGCCGAUGUCGGAUUAGCUAGUUGGUGGGGUAAAAGCCUACCAAGGCGACGAUCCGUAGCUGGUCUGAGAGGAUGAUCAGCCACACUGGAACUGAGACACGGUCCAGACUCCUACGGGAGGCAGCAGUGGGGAAUUUUGGACAAUGGGCGAAAGCCUGAUCCAGCCAUGCCGCGUGAGUGAAGAAGGCCU